rnacentral:rRNA from 1 species
AGUCAAGUAAUUAAGUGCAUGUGGUGGAUGCCUUGGCAGUCAGAGGCGAUGAAAGACGUGAUAGCCUGCGAAAAGCUCCGGGGAGGCGGCAAAUAUCCUUUGAUCCGGAGAUGUCUGAAUGGGGGAACCCACCUACUUUAAGGUAGGUAUUGCAACAUGAAUACAUAGUGUUGCAAGGCGAACGAGGGGAAGUGAAACAUCUCAGUACCCUUAGGAAAAGAAAUCAAUUGAGAUUCCCUCAGUAGCGGCGAGCGAACGGGGAUCAGCCCAUUAAGUUAUGUGUGUUUUAGUGGAACGCUCUGGGAAGUGCGAACGUAGAGGGUGAUAUUCCCGUACACGAAAGGGCACACAUAAUGAUGACGAGUAGGGCGAGGCACGUGAAACCUUGUCUGAAUAUGGGGGGACCAUCCUCCAAGGCUAAAUACUCCUGACUGACCGAUAGUGAACCAGUACCGUGAGGGAAAGGCGAAAAGAACCCCUGUGAGGGGAGUGAAAUAGAUCCUGAAACCGCAUGCAUACAAGCAGUGGGAGCACCUUCGUGGUGUGACUGCGUACCUUUUGUAUAAUGGGUCAGCGACUUAUAUUCAGUAGCAGGUUAACCGUAUAGGGGAGCCGUAGAGAAAUCGAGUCUUAAUAGGGCGUUUAGUUGCUGGGUAUAGACCCGAAACCAGGCGAUCUAUCCAUGAGCAGGUUGAAGGUUGGGUAACACUAACUGGAGGACCGAACCCACUGUCGUUGAAAAGCCAGGGGAUGACUUGUGGAUAGGGGUGAAAGGCUAAUCAAGCCUGGUGAUAGCUGGUUCUCCCCGAAAGCUAUUUAGGUAGCGCCUCGGACGAAUACCAUAGGGGGUAGAGCACUGUUUCGGCUAGGGGGUCAUCCCGACUUACCAAACCGAUGCAAACUCCGAAUACCUAUGAGUACUAUCCGGGAGACAGACUGCGGGUGCUAACGUCCGUAGUCAAGAGGAAAACAAUCCAGACCGCCAGCUAAGGCCCCAAAAUCAUAGUUAAGUGGGAAACGAUGUGGGAAGGCAUAGACAGCUAGGAGGUUGGCUUAGAAGCAGCCACCCUUUAAAGAAAGCGUAAUAGCUCACUAGUCGAGUCGGCCUGCGCGGAAGAUGUAACGGGGCUAAAACUAUGUGCCGAAGCUGCGGAUGUAUACUUUGUAUAGUGGUAGGGGAGCGUUCUGUAAGCCGAUGAAGGUGUGUUGAGAAGCAUGCUGGAGGUAUCAGAAGUGCGAAUGCUGACGUGAGUAACGACAAAACGGGUGAAAAACCCGUUCGCCGAAAGACCAAGGGUUCCAGUCCAACGUUAAUCGGGGCUGGGUGAGUCGACCCCUAAGGCGAGGCCGAAAGGCGUAGUCGAUGGGAAAAUGGUUAAUAUUCCAUUACUUCUGUGUAAUGCGAUGAGAGGACGGAGAAGGCUAAAUCAGCCUGGCGUUGGUUGUCCAGGUGAAAGGAUGUAGGCAUGUAUCUUAGGCAAAUCCGGGGUACUCUAUGCUGAGAUCUGAUAGCAAGCUGUACUUGUACAGCGAAGUGGUUGAUGCCAUGCUUCCAGGAAAAGUCUCUAAGCUUCAGUUACACAGGAAUCGUACCCGAAACCGACACAGGUGGUCAGGUCGAGUAGACCAAGGCGCUUGAGAGAACUCUGCUGAAGGAACUAGGCAAAAUGGUACCGUAACUUCGGGAGAAGGUACGCUGUUGUUGGUGAUGGAACUCGCUUCCUGAGCUGACGACAGCCGCAGAAACCAGGCCGCUGCAACUGUUUAUUAAAAACAUAGCACUCUGCAAACACGAAAGUGGACGUAUAGGGUGUGAUGCCUGCCCGGUGCUGGAAGGUUAAUUGAUGGGGUUAGCGUAAGCGAAGCUCUUGAUCGAAGCCCCAGUAAACGGCGGCCGUAACUAUAACGGUCCUAAGGUAGCGAAAUUCCUUGUCGGGUAAGUUCCGACCUGCACGAAUGGCAUAAUGAUGGCGGCGCUGUCUCCAGCAGAGGCUCAGUGAAAUCGAAAUCGCUGUGAAGAUGCAGUGUACCCGCGGCUAGACGGAAAGACCCCGUGAACCUUUACUGCAGCUUGACACUGAACUUUGACCUUACUUGUGUAGGAUAGGUGGGAGGCUUUGAAGCUGGAACGCUAGUUCCAGUGGAGCCGUCCUUGAAAUACCACCCUGGUAAUGUUGAGGUUCUAACUCUGUCCCGUGAUCCGGGACGAGGACCGUGUCUGGUGGGUAGUUUGACUGGGGCGGUCUCCUCCUAAAGAGUAACGGAGGAGUACGAAGGUGCGCUCAGCGUGGUCGGAAAUCACGCGUAGAGUAUAAAGGCAAAAGCGCGCUUAACUGCGAGACCCACAAGUCGAGCAGGUACGAAAGUAGGUCUUAGUGAUCCGGUGGUUCUGUAUGGAAGGGCCAUCGCUCAACGGAUAAAAGGUACUCUGGGGAUAACAGGCUGAUACCGCCCAAGAGUUCAUAUCGACGGCGGUGUUUGGCACCUCGAUGUCGGCUCAUCUCAUCCUGGGGCUGAAGCAGGUCCCAAGGGUAUGGCUGUUCGCCAUUUAAAGAGGUACGCGAGCUGGGUUUAGAACGUCGUGAGACAGUUCGGUCCCUAUCUACCGUGGGCGCUGGAAAUUUGAGAGGAUCUGCUCCUAGUACGAGAGGACCAGAGUGGACGAACCUCUGGUGUACCGGUUGUGACGCCAGUCGCAUCGCCGGGUAGCUAUGUUCGGAAGGGAUAACCGCUGAAAGCAUCUAAGCGGGAAGCCUACCUCAAGAUAAGAUUUCCCUAGGACUUUAUGUCCUCUAAAGAGCCGUUCGAGACUAGGACGUUGAUAGGUUGGAUGUGGAAGCAUAGUGAUAUGUGAAGCUGACCAAUACUAAUUGCUCGUGAGGCUUGACUAU